GAUAAUAUGCAUGUAAAUGAAUGGUUUACGUUUUUAUUAACAUGUUGAAUGGUAUGAUGUUUAAAUGUUUUCGAUUGUAUGGUAAUGCUCCAUAACCUUAAUCCGGCGACGGAGACGGGUUAGGGGUGUUACACAUCUUUUGCUGAUAGGUACACAUUAUGCAUGUGGGCUGGAGGUGUGUAUGCCCUGAACCGUGGAUCUUCUUUAGUAUCUUUGCUUGGAACUUCACCG
rnacentral:lncRNA from 1 species